rnacentral:rRNA from 1 species
AGUGAACGCUGGCGGUAGGCCUAACACAUGCAAGUCGAACGGCAGCACAGUAAGAGCUUGCUCUUACGGGUGGCGAGUGGCGGACGGGUGAGGAAUACAUCGGAAUCUACUUUUUCGUGGGGGAUAACGUAGGGAAACUUACGCUAAUACCGCAUACGACCUACGGGUGAAAGCAGGGGAUCUUCGGACCUUGCGCGAUUGAAUGAGCCGAUGUCGGAUUAGCUAGUUGGCGGGGUAAAGGCCCACCAAGGCGACGAUCCGUAGCUGGUCUGAGAGGAUGAUCAGCCACACUGGAACUGAGACACGGUCCAGACUCCUACGGGAGGCAGCAGUGGGGAAUAUUGGACAAUGGGAGCAAGCAUGAUACAGCCAUACCGCGUGGGUGAAGAAGGCCUUCGGGUUGUAAAGCCCUUUUGUUGGGAAAGAAAAGCAGCAGGUUAAUACCCCGCUGUUCUGACGGUACCCAAAGAAUAAGCACCGGCUAACUUCGUG